CUCUAUUUCUCUGCUCAAACAGGAGCGCCAUGGCUCUCGGUCCCCAUCAAGCUCCGCGCCCGGACCUCCUCGUCGAACCUCGCCGGAGUUCCUCCAUGACGCCAGCAACAGCAGCAGCCGCUGCACCCUCUCACCGGCGAACCCAGCAGAUGAGCCGCCGCCUUCCUCACGCCUCCCCACCGCGCCAGCAGCUCCAGCCGCUCAAGUCCCAACUUCGAGUUGCGCCCCUGCCUCGCCAUGACCACCGGCCUCGUUGUUUCCUCGCUUUGCAGGUGCCGACGAUACCAGUGCAGGUGAUGCUACCGAGCUCAAGUGGGAGUUCGACAAGACCUUGGUCGUUACUAUGUUUUGUUUCCUGAUGAUCAAUAGUGG